ACACCGGCGGCCCGAGUGGUAACCGUUUUUAUUGGGUUUAAAGGGUCCGUAGCCGGCCUAUUAAGUCUCUUGGGAAAUCUGGCGGCUUAAUCGUCAGGCGGCCAAGAGAUACUGAUAGGCUCGGGACCGGGAGAGGUGGGAGGUACUCCAGGGGUAGGGGUGAAAUCUCGUAAUCCUUGGGGGACCACCGAUGGCGAAGGCAUCCCACCAGAACGGGUCCGACGGUGAGGGACGAAAGCUGGGGGCACGAACCGGAUUAGAUACCCGGGUAGUCCCAGCUGUAAACGAUGCUCGCUAGGUGUCAGAUGCGGUGCGACCGCAUCUGGUGCCGCAGUGAAAACUUGAAGCGAGUCACCUGGGAAGUACGGUCGCAAGGCUGAA
rnacentral:rRNA from 1 species